rnacentral:rRNA from 1 species
AAGCGCUUGCAGCCAGACUUGCCCGCGGUCGUUCUUCUUCCGCGGGCAGGCCAGCAUCAGUCUGGGCGGUCGGAUAAAGGCCUCGGGAACGUAGCUCUCUCCGGGGAGUGUUAUAGCCCGGGGCGUCAUGCGGCCAGCCCGGACUGAGGUCCGCGCAUCUGCUAGGAUGCUGGCGUAAUGGCUGUAAGC